CCUACGGGAGGCAGCAGUGAGGAAUAUUGGUCAAUGGUCGGGAGACUGAACCAGCCAAGCCGCGUGAGGGAUGAAGGUACAGAGUAUCGUAAACCUCUUUUGUCAGGGAACAAAGGCGGGGACGCGUCACCGGAUGAGUGUACCUGAAGAAAAAGCAUCGGCUAACUCCGUGCCAGAAGCCGCGGUAAUACGGAGGAUGCGAGCGUUAUCCGGUUUUAUGGGGUUAAAAGGGUGCGCAGGCGGUCUGUUAAGGUAGCGGUAAAAGCCCGGGGCACAACCCCGGCCCGCCGUUGAAACUGGCAGUCUCGAGUUGGAGAGAAGUAUGCGGAAUGCGCGGUGUAGCGGUGAAAUGCAUAGAUAUCGCGCAGAACUCCGAUUGCGAAGGCAGCAUGCCGGCUCCACACUGACGCUGAGGCACGAAAGCGUGGGUAUCGAACAGGAUUAGAUACCCUUGUAGUC
rnacentral:rRNA from 1 species